GGCACAGACGUUGGUGGAAUUGUUCACAAACUAUGUUUGGAAGUAGACAACAUUUUUGAACUUUCGAGGAGUCACUUUUGCACAAAGUGUAAAAACUAGCUUGGAAUAGAUCAAUUGCAGAUUGCUGAAGGUCAUCAAAUUCCAACCGAACUAAUUAAGCCAACACUGAAAAUGUCGCCAGUAUGUAUACACGCAGCAGGGGCGUGUUGUACGUGUAAACGCUGCUUAGGAGUGUUGUUGUGGAACUGUCAUUUUGCUAAAAUCAUUUUGCCGCGAUUGCUGAAAAGCAAAUGUAAAUGUACUGAAAAUUUCGUAAUGUAACAGCCAUAUGGAUAAUACGAUGACGAACCCGUUGGGAAUGCAUUGCAGUCGAGAAAGUAAAACACUGUUCGUAAACAGAUAAAUUGUAUAAUAAUCUGUUCGGAUUUUGCUAAUUAUGCUGCUUUUAGCGAAAAACAGUAUAAUUAGACACUCAUCAUGCUCGCAGCUUUUUAGUUAUGGAAGGUACAAGCAUACAUUAUGAACAGUUCAUCCAGGCUCCAGGAGCGGUUCAUAGUAUAAGCUAACUAAACAGAUGCUCGGCGUCUUGAGCUUUCAAACCCGUCAAUAUCGACUGAGGCGUGGAAGUCCUAAAUGUCUCGAUUAUUUGGAUUCUCCAUGGCUUCCUUAUUUACUUGUCAGGCGCUACAACCAAUUGAUAGUCUUGGGCGGUUGUAGAAGUUCUCGGUGUCGCUCACGGUAUUGCGCCGUCGUCUGUCAAUCCAAUCUCGGCCUUUCUGGCGGACGCUUCGCUACGCUCCAUCUCAGCAUGGGCAUACCAAGCCCAGUUGCCUGGCUGUACUAUUUCCAGUUGACGAAAAAUACGCUUGACUUAUGACUUGAGAAAAAUUAUGUAUUGGGCCUGGCAAGCCUGAUUCGCUCGGUUGUGGAUUAACCGCCCAGCUCGUAGAGCUCGCUAUUUUAACGUCUUCUCCACAGUCCUUCCACACACACGGCACACGGCUAAAGAUCCUUCUGAGGAUCAUUCCCUCGAACACGCCAGAGAGGGGCUAGCCAGAGAGUCCAUAUCUCAAAAUCGUACUUGAUAUACAAUACAUGAACUAUGAAUAUUGUACACAGUCCCAGCGUGGUAGGCCGCGACGGCUAUUUUGAGCGAAGAAUUUUCGUCAGGCUAUACUAUAAUCGGUUCGGCAGGUCUUGGUGAACGGGACUGCUGCAUAAAAGAACCUAAAACCAUUGAUACUAUGUCACCUGCGUAAGUCAGAAUCUAUAUUGUCUUAUAGACCAUGAUCUUAGCAGUGUCCAUCUCGUUGGCCCUCUCUAGCGCCAUAUUGAAGAGACGACAGACGAGCUCAUCCUCUGGCGCAGGAUCUAAGUAGAAGCAAGAGAUUUCUUGUACUUGGGAUAGAUGAUGGAAUGAUUCCAACACACAAGGUUUCCAUUCGCUAUCUUACAUCUCAGUAAUAAUUUGAAAAAUUUCGCCCUUUUUUCAGUUGCUGCCCUACCAUUUUUGAUAAAUUCGACUACAAUUCCGUCGAUGUCUGGUGCCUUGUUGUUCUUGAGAUAACGUAUGGCCCUCCAUGUUUCCUCAAGGCUUAUUGGCCUCAUCUGCUACUGGAGUCCUUAACACGUCUCUGACUCUCGGGCAGUUAGCAGACUAGAUCCCCGUCCUUUUUUUCGACAGCAAGGAAAAUUACAUUUAUAGCACAAUGUGCUUCUAGAAAAGUUAGUAACGAUGAUUUUUUUUUUAUAUGGGACUGCAUGAUGAAUUUUAUUUUUAUUCGAUCAAGGAUCUUAUUUAUCAUAGAUGAUAGCAAAUAAUCCUACAGGGAUACACCAAGCGCAAACAUUUUAAUAUAAAGCAAUUGUACUAAUGCUUGGCAAGACUAUUGCAGCCUUAUUAAGAGCAGCUUAUCCUUCCGCGGUUUGAAUGUUGUAUUAGACAUCGAUGCAUAAAAAAGCGUUAACUCACCUUUGACUAGCUUCAUCUUUGGGCAAAUGUUUACCCUAUCGAGCGUAAAUCAUUAGUGACCUUUCCGUUUGGCUCGAGCCAUCAAAAACAGUUGAUUGCCGGAUAGGCGUACACAACGUUAAGGAUCAUUGCCCACGGCCAGUGGACUGAAUCCUCGUGUCCUUUUGAAUUCACGCAAAUAAACUUAAUCAGUGCGGUUGAACCGAACGAUUAGGGUAGUGGACGGCGGUGAUUAACCUAAUCCCGGUCCGAAUGACGAUUGAAAGUGUCCGUAUGUGUAAAUCUCCCCACCACCAACCUCGCUCACCUCGCUCACCCCAAACCGCCGCCCCUUAACUUUAUUAAUAACGGUUCACAGUGUAUUCAAUUAAGUAUUUUCACCAUCGUUAAUGAAGGCCAGCGGGAUCAUAGGAUAGGUUGCGUUCGCUUCCACAGGGCCCGUUGUGAGAAUAGUUUUGCACCGAUGAUGACGAUGAUGAUGUUGGCGUGGUGGUGGUAGUGCCCUAUCCAAUGCAACACUGCGAAACGGCGUGGAGUCGGGGACGAUAGUCGCCAGCCGGAAGCACAUUAGGACAUAAUUAAAGCGAAUAUGUACGUAGUAGUUGUGUAGAUAAUAGAAUUUUAUACGCACCAGCGCAGGUCCUUUCAAUGGGCGAUCUGUGAACGAUGGGAUGAUGGGAUGUGCAGCGGGCACCGAAGCUACUUGGGGCUUUAAUUUUAAUCAAACUUCAGCUGAAGCCGGGCGUUAAAUUACACCUACAGCGGCACACAAAUCACACAUCCAGCGCGGGUCCAGACACUGAGGAUGGUGGAUCAGGGGGGACUCGCACCAUGAACAUAUCCUCGGUUUAUUUAUUUGCGUUCCACAUUUUCGCAUGCACCACGGUGCAUUCCACGAGGGUGGGGUGCAGCGCGACUGCAGUCAUAUGGGUGGCAAUGGUGAGUUGAAAUAAAUUAAUUUCAUUCCGGUGUCCUCUUUUUUGCAGCCCACAUACACACUCACACACUUUCGGGGUAAGGAUGGGUGAUGUCCUUGCUGAACUGAUGAUGGCCGUGCAACUGUCACUGCAGUUGUGGCGUCCGAUGUGGAUGGUCUGUUGUGUUUUGUUUUAACUUCUUCUGAUUUUCUUUUAACUUUCUGAUUUCCAGCAAAAAAAAAGAAAGAGCUGGAGAUUUCUGUUUUAGUAACCGAAUUUUCCAUUUGCACUAUCACUGAUCAACUGUUUAUUUAUUUUGUUGCAUUAAUUUUUAUAGCGUUUUGCACUCUCAAAGGGGGAACGCAAUCACGCCUUGAGCGCGCCUGUUCCCCAAACGGGAGGGAGCAUUCAGCAUAAACCUGCCUGCACCGCUUUUCCGAUUGAGGAUGCAUUGAGGGUGCAAAGCAAAGUAAAGCUUAUUGAAACAUUUGACUUGCCGGCCCAAUCCAUUUCCACACACACACACGGCCGGUGCAGCUUCGAUUUUACCACACCACAUAUUAAUUUUCCUCCUUUUUUCUCUGCGUUUCGGCUUCCCGGUGGCCGGGUUCUUCGGAUUAGCGUGGUCGCUGCAUAAUGGUGCAAAUACGGCCCUUCCUCCUCCUCCCCCCUCGGAAAAUACGAACAUUAUUUCCUUGUUUGUGUACCGCCGCCCCUUCCACCUACGUAGGGGAGCACUCUUUCGCGGGCGAGCCAAACAAUCGGCGACAAAAUAAUAUUUAUAGUUUUUGGGGCCAAAAACUGGAUACGACUCUCAAGCAAUAACAACGCCAUCAAUAAGCUAUGCAGGGGGAAUGGGAGAGGGGGAGGGGAAGGUGGUUUCAGGAUUGGGAUUGUUUUAGAAUUGCACGGCAAGGCAUAAAAUUGGCCCUAUUAAUAAUCAGUGCACUGCCUGCACACUGUCGCCACACUGUCGAUUGGGCUAACAAAAAAAACGCUUCCUCUUCAGCUACAUACCAAUGCUGUACGCGCAAAGGCGGCGGGGUCAUAUAGUUAUUUAUGGUCAUUGAUGCUGCAGAUAGUGGCCGGCCACUGUUGUGAAUGCAAUAAGCAUUUGGCAAAACGGGAGCGGUCGGGCUGUAUUUCUCUCGCACCUUCCGGAUGUGUAUGAAUAUUUGGUUUUCAUCAUAUGCAUGCAACAACGUGAUUGCCGGGGCAUGUUGUUUUAUUUCUUAAAUACUAUUUGUUAAUUUUAUCCCGACCGUUGGCGCAGACUAGUACAAUUUAAAUAAAUAAAAACGUAAAUAACUUAUUUGUCCUCUAUUGUUACUUCUUAUUAUUUUAAAUCUCACUUUCAGCGCAGUGCAUUGUUCUGCUUAAACAAUGUUUAAAGCUUCAUUGAUUUUCUUAUGUUAAUGCUGU